CCUACGGGGGGCUGCAGUGGGGAAUAUUGGGCAAUGGGCGCAAGCCUGAUCCAGCAACGCCGCGUGAAGGAAGAAGGCCCUCGGGUUGUAAACUUCUUUUAUCAAGGACGAAACAAAUGACGGUACUUGAUGAAUAAGCCACGGCUAACUACGUGCCAGCAGCCGCGGUAAUACGGAGGUGGCAAGCGUUAUCCGGAUUUACUGGGUGUACAGGGCGUGUAGGUGGAAGUGCAAGUUAGAUGGGAAAUCCAUGGGCUCAAACCAUGGCCUGCAGUUGAAACUGUAGGUCUUGAGUGUGGGAGAGGCAGGCGGAAGUCGGGGUGUAGGGGUGAAAGGCGUAGAUAUAAGGAAGAACACCGGUGGCGAAGGCAGCCUGCUGGACAAUAACUGACGCUGAGGCGCGAAAGCGUGGGGAGCAAACAGGAUUAGAUACCCGUGUAGUC
rnacentral:rRNA from 1 species